rnacentral:rRNA from 1 species
UAACGGCGAGUGAAGCGGCAACAGCUCAAAUUUGAAAUCUGGCUUCUUAGGGGCCCGAGUUGUAAUUUGUAGAGGGUGUUUCGGGUGCGGUACCGGUUUAAGUCCCUUGGAACAGGGCGUCGCAGAGGGUGAGAAUCCCGUAUGUGACCGGCGACCAACCUCAUGUGAAACCCCUUCGACGAGUCGAGUUGUUUGGGAAUGCAGCUCUAAAUGGGUGGUAAAUUCCAUCUAAAGCUAAAUACCGGCCAGAGACCGAUAGCGCACAAGUAGAGUGAUCGAAAGAUGAAAAGCACUUUGGAAAGAGAGUCAAAAAGUACGUGAAAUUGUUGAAAGGGAAGCGCUUGCGACCAGACCUGCGCGGGGACGAUCAACGGCCGUUUUCGGCCGUGCACUCGUCUUCGAUCAGGCCAGCAUCGGUUCGGGCGGUCGGACAAAGGCCUUGGGAAUGUAGCUCCCCACGGGGAGUGUUAUAGCCCUCGGUGCAAUGCGGCCAGCCUGGACCGAGGACCGCGCUUCGGCAAGGAUGCUGGCGUAAUGGUCGUCAGCGACCCGUCUUGAAACACGGACCAAGGAGUCUAACAUCUGUGCGAGUUUUCGGGUGUCAAACCCCUAAGCGUAAUGAAAGUGAACGGAGGUGGGAGCCCUUAAGGGUGCACCAUCGACCGAUCCAGAUGUCUUCGGAUGGAUUUGAGUAUGAGCAUAGCUGUUGGGACCCGAAAGAUGGUGAACUAUGCCUGAAUAGGGUGAAGCCAGAGGAAACUCUGGUGGAGGCUCGCAGCGGUUCUGACGUGCAAAUCGAUCGUCAAAUUUGGGUAUAGGGGCGAAAGACUAAUCGAACCAUCUAGUAGCUGGUUCCUGUCGAAGUUUCCCUCAGGAUAGCAGUAACGUCUUCAGUUUUAUGAGGUAAAGCGAAUGAUUAGAGGCCUUGGGGUUGAAACAACCUUAACCUAUUCUCAAACUUUAAAUAUGUAAGAAGUCCUUGUUACUUAAUUGAACGUGGACAUUUGAAUGUACCGUUACUAGUGGGCCAUUUUUGGUAAGCAGAACUGGCGAUGCGGGAUGAACCGAACGUGAGGUUAAGGUGCCGGAAUGCACGCUCAUCAGACACCACAAAAAGUGUUGAUUCAUCUAGACAGCCGGACGGUGGCCAUGGAAGUCGGAAACCGCUAAGGAGUGUGUGUAAGUAGAGAAUUAAUCCCCCCCAAUCCCCCGAGAGAGGAGUCAAUUGCUAACAUGAGUCUUUAGAACAACUCACCGGCCGAAUGAAUCAGCCUUGAAAAUGGAUGGCGCUCAAGCGUGUUACCCAUACCUCGCCGCCAGGGUAGAAUUGAUGCCCUGGCGAGUAGGCAGGCGGGAGGUCAG